AGGGGUCCCAAGCGUUGUUCGGAUUCACUGGGCGUAAAGGGUGCGUAGGUGGUGGGGUAAGUCGGAUGUGAAAGCUCGGAGCUCAACUCCGAAAUGGCAUUGGAAACUGCCCUGCUAGAGGAUUGGAGGGGGGACUGGAAUACUUGGUGUAGCUGUGAAAUGCGUAGAUAUCAAGUGGAACACCAGUGGCGAAGGCGAGUCCCUGGACAAUACCUGACACUGAGGCACGAAAGCUAGGGGAGCAAACAGGAUUAGAUACCCUGGUAGUCCUAGCCGUAAACGGUGCACGUUUGCUGUAAAAGGAAUCGACCCCUUUUGUGGCGUAGCCAACGCGUUAAACGUGCCGCCUGGGAAGUACGGUCGCAAGAUUA
rnacentral:rRNA from 1 species